rnacentral:rRNA from 1 species
GGUUUCGGUAGGUGACCUGCGGAGGAUCAUUA